rnacentral:rRNA from 1 species
UGGGGAAUAUUGGGCAAUGGGCGAAAGCCUGACCCAGCAACGCCGCGUGAAGGAAGAAGGCUUUCGGGUUGUAAACUUCUUUUCUCAGGGACGAAGCAAGUGACGGUACCUGAGGAAUAAGCCACGGCUAACUACGUGCCAGCAGCCGCGGUAAUACGUAGGUGGCAAGCGUUAUCCGGAUUUACUGGGUGUAAAGGGCGUGUAGGCGGGACUGCAAGUCAGAUGUGAAAAACCAUGGGCUCAACCUGUGGCCUGCAUUUGAAACUGUAGUUCUUGAGUACUGGAGAGGCAGACGGAAUUCCUAGUGUAGCGGUGAAAUGCGUAGAUAUUAGGAGGAACACCAGUGGCGAAGGCGGUCUGCUGGACAGCAACUGACGCUGAGGCGCGAAAGCGUGGGGAAGCAAACAGGAUUAGAUACCC